rnacentral:lncRNA from 1 species
CCCCGCCCGCCCUCGUCCGGCAGCCGCAAGCUCCCGGGCGGGGAGGGGCGGCCCCGGUAAAGGGAGAGACGGCGCUGCCGCCGCUCCGCGCCUUGCUCGGGGCACGGAGCUGAUGAUUAACCUGCGGUUCAUUGAAUACCUACCUGGCUCAAGUCGCGCCCGGGAUGUGGUUUAACCUUGUCCGAGGUUUCGGUACCUCGGGCUUUGCCUUUCUGCCUGAGACCCUGGUGCUGCCAGUUUUGCUGCUACCGAAGCGCUGCGGGGAUGUGCAGCUCCCCGUUGAAAAUCUCUGCUGUUAAUAUCAGCCUAGACUUCACUUUACAGUCGUUUUUAGAGGUUUGAGGCUCCAGAGGUCGAGGUGAUGUGGGACUCUCGGUCUCGGCGAGCAUUUUUGCAGCAGCAGCAGCCUCGGGCUGCAGUAGCUGGCACUUGAAUCCAUGUUGGCUCCUUUUCCUCGGGCGUGAGCUGCAAGGAGCUCAGCAGCUUCGGCAUUUAGUCCCAUUUGGGGAAACGUCUGUCCUUUGUGAGGAUGCCAGUACAGUUAUAGCCACUGACACUAUACAUGACCAGAGGCUCCAGUUUCUGGCAUCUCUUUCUAUCGUCAGGAAAGUAUUUUCACACCUCAGCCAAAACUCAAACCCAAUCAUCUACUUUUUAUAUGGCAACAGUGCCUAGCAAGGUGGGGACACAUCUGUCUUGAUAGGAUGUCAUGAGAGCAUCUCCUUGCAAUUUGUUUCUCUUCCCUCAGACAAGGUGCCAGCACAGUGACUUGUUCCUUGGUAGUCAGGUAUUGAACUUCCUGCCUCAACUAGAAUGCCAAAUACUAUACUCCUAUAAAAAGUUGAAAACAUGGA